AAGUCGUAACAAGGUUUCCGUAGGUGAACCUGCGGAAGGAUCAUUAACAAAUUCAAAAACUCGUGUUCGUCAAUGGAGAUGUUACUUUUUGUUUCUCUUGUACACUACUACUACUAGUAGUAGUAGUAGGUUGUAGUAGUAGUAUGUUGGUUUCGGCUGACAUGGUAUUAUUGCUACACGUACAGGUGCACACACUGUGACACCCCGUUGACGGUACUAUAACACAAAAAACAUACAUCUUGAUGGACAACACCUAGUGAUUCAGCUAGCAGCAACGGAGAAACAACUUUUAACAAUGGAUCUCUUGGCUCUU
rnacentral:misc_RNA from 1 species